GCCUAUUAAAUUCGUUUGCCUCAAUGUUGAGGUCUGGGAAGAAAUUGGAGAGGCGGGGGUCAAAAAGGAAGACGUGGCAACCGACGACGAGACAGGGUCUUCUUCGACUCUAAGUGCUAGCUCAACUCGCGCUUUGUCGGCACUCAGAAGGCUGCCGGCUCGCGUUAACAUGGAUAAUAGGAAUGCGGAUGCUGGAGAAUCCGAGAUGACAAAGUGUGAAGCUGGAUGAACAUGCCAGGCCAAGCAGCAUCUCAAGAGCACAAAAUCUGACGUUUCGGGAAGGGUCUAGGCCCGAAACGACACCUUUUGUGCUCCUAAAAUGCGGCUUGGCCUGCCGUGUUCAUCCAGCUUCACACUUUAUCUCGCGUUAACAUGGAAACCGGCCACCAUUUUGAAGGCCCACGGAACUUGGCCUUAGAUACUUGACACUCCCUUACCUGAGAUCAUCCUCCACCAGUUCUCCCUCUCUGAUGAAUACUGAUUUCUGGUUGAGUAGCAGCGCGAGCGGGAGCUUGGAGCAGGGGCCUGUCAGGAAGCCGAAGGUGGUGCAUGAAAGGAAGGAACUGCCAGUGGAAGUGGCAGAGGGCGGGUACAAAUUACAACAUUUGGAAGGCAUCUAGGUGAGUACAUGAAUAGGAAGGGCCAAGUGGGCCAAAUGCUGACUUACUCGGAUAGGACUGAUUUAAGUACAGUCAACGUAGCUUUGCGCCUAGGAAAUCAUGUAUCAUUAACUUGAUUGAGUUUUUUUUGAAGAAGUAAUGAAGAGGAUUGAUGAAGGCAGAGCAGUGGACGUGAUCUAUGUGGAUUUUCGUAAGGCAUUCAACAAGGUUCCUCGUGGAAGACGGGUUAGCAAGGUUAGAUCACACAGAAUAGAAGGAGAACUAGCCAUUUGGAUACAGAACUGGCUCAAAGGUAGAAGACAAUAGAGUGGAGAAUUGCUUUUCAGACUGGAGGCCUCUGACCAGCGGUGUGCCACAAGGAUUGGUGCAGGGUCCAGCGCUUUUCAUCAUAUGUAUAAAUGAUUUGGAUGUGAAGACAAGAGGUGAAGUUUGUAAGUUUUCGGAUCGCACCAAAAGUAGAGGUGUAGUGGACAACGAAGGUUACCUCCGAGUUCAACGGGAUCUUGAUUAGAUGGGCCCAUUGGCCGACAAGUAACAGAUGGAGUUUAAUUUCGAUAAAUGUGAAGUGCCACAUUUUGGAAACGCAAAUUAGGGCAGGCCUUAUACACUUAAUGAUAAGGUCCUGGGGACUGUUGCUCAACAAAGAGACCUUCAUGGUUCCUUGAAAGUGGAAUCACAUUUAGGUGGGUUACUGGGAAGGCUUUUGGUAUGCUUGCCUUUAUUGGUCAGUGCAGUGGGUACAGGAUUUGGGAGGUCACAUUGCAGCUCACCUUACCUAUACCCCUCACGAUCUUAUAAACCUCUUCAAAGGUCACCCUCAACCUCCUACGACGAAUGGUCUCUCCCAAGUGUGACUGUGUCGAUGGAUUUCUAGUGCAGAUAGAGAAUCCUGUCUCACAGUGCCCACCUUUCCAAGGUUUCUGCAUGGUGCAGGCAUCUCUGUCCCUUUCGAGGUUGGGCAGGUAGUUGAACAUAUUCACAUAAGGAAUGAGUGAAUGCUUCCUCCCUAUUUUUACUGGUGUGAUAUCUUUUCAGGCUGUGUAACAGAAUAAAGCUCAUUCCACAGACAGUCCAUUGAAACACUCUCACUCAGGUCUCUGUGCAUGUCUCUGCUUUUCCAGUCCCAUUGUUAAAUCAUUGAAUCUCUACAAUGUGGAAGCAUGCCAUUUAGCCCAUUGAAUCACGCUGACCCUCCAAAGAGCAUCUGAUCCAGACAUAGCCCCCUAACUUAUCCCUGUAAGCCUGCAUUUCCAAUGACAAAUCUACCUAGCCUGGACUUUACAGGCUAUUUAACAUGUCCAAUCCACCUAGAAUCGUAGAAUCUCCAGUGUGGAAGCAGACCAUUUGGCCUGUCGGGUCCACCCUGACCCUGCAAAGAGCAUCCCACCCCCCACCCUCUCGUUGUAAUCCUGCAUUUCCCAUGGCUAACCCUGCACAUCCCUGGACACACUGGGCAAUUUAGCAUCCACCUAACCCUCACAUCUUUGGACUGUGGGAUGAAAGAGGAGCAGCUGAAGGAAAACCACUCAGAUACAGGGAGAACAUGCAAACUCCACACGGACAGUUGCCCAAGGUUGCAAUUGUACCCGUGCCAUGUUUAAAAUUUUCCCCCUUGACAAACAUUUCUCCUGUCACAUUCAAAGACUGAUGAAUAUCAGUUCCUGGUGAUUCUUGUGACUGUUCUCAAUGUGAUGUUUGCUUUGAGUUUCCCAUUUGUAAAAUUGUCCCCUCAAACAACCCGUAAAGCUUGUUUAUGAUAGUCAUUGCUGCAAGUACUGGAUAUAAAUAAGUACUGAUAGUUCUAAUUUCUUUGUAGGGUGUCCCAACCUUUCACCUUUGCAGAUACUGGCCCCCAGAUUCCCGCCAAUGAAGCAGAGAAAUAUAGAAAAUAGUUUAAGGAGUAGUCCAUUUAGCCCUUUGAACCUGCACCCCUAUUCAAUAUGAUCACAGCUGUUUGUGCAAUCUCAGUAUUCCAUUCCCAUCCUCUCCCCAUACACCUUGAUCCCUUUAACCACAAGGGCCAUGUCGAGCUCCCUCUCGAAUAUAUCCAAUGAACUGGCCCCAGUAGCUUCCUGUGGGAGAGAAUUCUACAGGUUCACAACUCUCUGAGUGAAGAAAUUCUUCCACAUCUCAGUCCUGAGCGGCUUACUCCUUAAUCUUAGGCUAUGACCCAUAGUUAUGGACUCGUCCAAUAUCAGGAACAUUCUUCCUGCAUCUAGAUUGUCCAGCCCCAUCAGGAUUUUAUACAUUUCUGUGAGAUACAACCCUGCCAAGUCUUCUGAAUUCCAGUGAAUAUAAGGCUAGUUCAUCCAGUCUUUCCUUGUACUGUUCUAUUCUACUGUGCUCUGAAAUCCCAAGCCUUCUUCACUGAGAUCCUUCCUUGCACCCUCCUCGAGUCCCUAUCUAGCUCUGAGCCCCCCUCUGGGUGUGUUUUCUUGCCUCUGUUUGGGGACCUGUUCAUUCCCUUCUGAGUGAGGACAUUGCCUGCCAGUUCUGAUGCACAUUUCGAAACCAUAAAAAUGGGUUGGUGUGCUCCCAUUCUCCAACAUCCAUAAGACCAUAAGACGUAGGAGUGGAAGUAAGGCCAUUCGGCCCAUCGAGUCCACUCCGCCAUUUAAAUCAUGGCUGAUGGGCAUUUCAACUCCACUUCCCUGCACUCUCCCCGUAGCCCUUGAUUCCUUGUAUAAGACCAUAAGACAUAGGAGUGGAAGUAAGGCCAUUCAGCCCAUCAUCUUUAGCUGUUUUAAGUACAUGUCAAAGUCAACAGACUACAAGUCUUCACUUUCAAAAAUCAAUAUUUGGUUUGAAUUUGAUUUGAUUUAUUACUGUCAUGUGUACUGAGGUGGAGUGAAAAGUGUUGUCUUAGUGUUUUCCUGGCAGACCAUACUGUAAAGUGCACCAGAGUAACAGAAACAGAAUGCAGGGUACAGUCUUAAUAGGAACUGCAGAUGCUGGAGAAUCCGAGAUAACAAAGUGUAGAGCUGGAUGAACACAGCACGCCAAGCAGCAUCCAGCAGGGCUGGAUUAAGGAUUAAGCCACAUUAGGUUAUAGCGAUGCCACCCGGAAACUGGAGGAGCUGCACCUCGUAUUCCGCUAUGAAAGCCUAUAACCCAGUGAGGAGGUUUCCGCUAAUGUGGUCUAUUGUAUCCACUGUUCACAAUGGGGCCACCUCUACAUUGGUAAGACCACCCCCUGGACGACAUGUCCAUCCUGGGCCUCCUCUCGUGUCACAGCGAUGCCACUUGGAAACUGGAGGAGCUGCACCUCGUAUUCCGCUAUGAAAGCCUAUAACCCAGUGGGGAACAGCAACUCAUAUUCCGCUUGGGAACCCUGCAGCGGCUGAACCCCGAUUAGGGAGUAAG